ACAGGCACAUGCCACCAUACCCAGCUAAUUUUUUUGUAUUUUUGGUAGAGACGGGGUUUCACCAUGUUGGCCAGAGGAGUGUUGUUUUGACAGAUAAACAUGGUAAGCUUGGUUGUUUUCUUCCUGAAUGUUUUGAAAUAAAAGAGGAUUGAAAUUUUAUUCCUCAAUAGAAAUUAAGAAUAAUUAUAUAACUCUUGUACAAUUUUAUUGAUGUUAGGCAAUGAAGACAGAAAAGAAAUGUUAAGUUUUUCUCCUUCCAGAUGUAACUGAUGCUGCAAUGGCCGUGACAUUCAGGAAUAUGAAAGUUUUCAUCGUUUGUUUAUACCUUUGGUCAUACUGGCAUAAUUUUUUUUGUUUGUUUUAAAUGAGAUUAUUGCUCUAGAAAAGAAAAACUUAAUAAAACCUUGUGUUUGAAAAUAAAAUUUUGUCAGAAUUUCAGCCAACAAGAUUUCCUGUGUGAUGCACAACUAAUAUUUCAGUGUUGCUGUUCCUCAAAGAUUGGGUUUUAGGGUGCAUGCAGCUCAGGACAGAAUUAUAUCAAACCAAAAGCAUAUGCAGUCUACAUGUGAUUUGUUUGGAUGAUAUGCAAAGAUAUGAAUUGUGUAUUUUAAUCAGUAUACUUUAGUUUCAUUUUACAAAAAGAAAAAUUAGCUCAGUCUAAAUCUGAAAUAAAUACAGACAUUUACAGGCACCUGUUUGAAUCAUCAUGAUUAGGUUUAUUUUAUGAUAUAUUAAUAUUAUUAAAAUUCCCAGUAAGAAGAAGUCACAUUUAAUAUACAAUAUUUGAGUGGAUUGUGUGUGCUUAUUAAUAGUGUCACAGUUUAAGUAAAACUAUUAAGCCGCCAUCUUUACAUACUUGGUUUUACCUUUUUGGAUGUCUUGGGCAAAGGUUCAAGGUAUUUCUUUUCAGGUAAAUAAUUUGUAACUGCUGUUAAUUAAAAUAUAGUUCUCUAAAAUAGAACCCAUUUAGAAAUAAUAAUAGUUGGAAAUAAACAACAUGGAAAACUAGAUGAUUUGUGGUUCAAAUUUACUGAUAGAUAAGUUAAACAUUAGAGCCAUAAAGUGUAAAUUUGCGUAGCAUUUAACAAGCUUUAGAAGAGCAUUAAAAGUAACCUAUAUGUAAUAUGCAAUACGAAUAGAGCUUCACAGAGCCCCAGAGGAAGCUGAAAAUGUAGUUCAGGAUGCUUCAGGCUGUCUGAGAUGUUGAGAUUAUGUUCCACAAAGACCAAAAUAAGGUUUCAGCAAGGUUUUCUUGCAACAUGUAAGUUUUCCAGAUGAAGAGAAAUGGACAUAUAUUAAAUUUCCAGCAGCUUAAAAAUGCAGUCAUUUGUAAGUGAUUAAAAUGGACGUUGUUUUUAGUUUUUCUGUAGUAGUUGGCAUUCCUUAACUGGUUUUUAUAUUAAACCAGUUAUGUUAAAAAACAAACAUGUAUACAGUGUGCCUAUCUUGUCACUAUGUUAAUAGAAAAUCAUUCAAAAAUUAAAGGAAAGAAAAGUAAAACCAUUAUAAUAAAAGAUUGUGAGAGCUGCUUGAGAGUUGUGGGGAGUAAUCUUGCAUCACAUCUAUUAGGAUUGUCAAAAAAAAAAAGACAAAAAAUAAACAAUAUAAAAUAGAGUUUACAUAGUACUCUUUUCUUUAGAUGUUUUUUGGAAGUCUCACAUGUUGUCAACUUAUGUAUUUUUUAUAUAAAGUGACCUGUAACUAAAAUUUUAAGAAUUUAGUUCUGCCAUUGUCUUGAAAUUAAGCAGGUAAAAACACAACCUCUCUGGGUCUCAGUGUUUUUCAUCUUAAAAUGGAUGACUUCCAUCCAAAGAUUUCUAAAUUCUCUUUCAGCUCCAAAACACUAUGAGAAACUAUGGAACUAUGAAGUUCCAUCUGAAAAUUUUUAAGAACAUGGAAACUGAUUGUGCUACUCAGCUUUUCUGAGUAGCCUUUGGUUUGGAGCUACAACCAUAACUUUCUUUGAGAAAUGGAAACAUCAGGAAUGGUACCACUACAUGCAAGGUGCUAGGAGUAGAAAGCAAUAGACAGAUUCACAAUGUUAUAAAUGGUGGUGAUAUGAAAUGUGACCCUGAUAAUGGUUAUGUGGUGCUUUGGAAAUUUACCUCUCUUACAGACUUUGUCCUUUUGUAUGUGAAGGUGACACUGAACAGUGUGUCUGAACAGAAUGAUGUGUAAUCUGUAGUUCUUUAUAUCUUAUCAGCUGCAGAUCCUGGUUUUGUGGAGCCUGAAGCUUGCACAACAUGGGGGCCGUGUUUUAAUGAGAACAAUAGUACAAAAUUAAAAAUGCAAAACUAGGUACAGGCAUUGGAAGGGGCCAGUAUUUAGUGAGGAUCAGCUUCAUUACGCUUCAUGGUAGAUCUGUCUCUGCUGAUUACAUAUGUGAAAACUGA
rnacentral:lncRNA from 1 species